UAGGGAAUCUUCCACAAUGGACGAAAGUCUGAUGGAGCAACGCCGCGUGAGUGAAGAAGGUUUUCGGAUCGUAAAGCUCUGUUGUAGGUGAAGAAGGAUAGAGGCAGUAACUGGUCUUUAUUUGACGGUAAUCAACCAGAAAGUCACGGCUAACUACGUGCCAG
rnacentral:rRNA from 1 species